UACGGAGGGGGCUAGCGUUGUUCGGAAUUACUGGGCGUAAAGCGCACGUAGGCGGCUUUGUCAGUUAGAGGUGAAAGCCUGGAGCUCAACUCCAGAACUGCCUUUAAGACUGCAUCGCUUGAAUCCAGGAGAGGUGAGUGGAAUUCCGAGUGUAGAGGUGAAAUUCGUAGAUAUUCGGAAGAACACCAGUGGCGAAGGCGGCUCACUGGACUGGUAUUGACGCUGAGGUGCGAAAGCGUGGGGAGCAAACAGG
rnacentral:rRNA from 1 species